AUUGAACGCUGGCGGCAUGCCUUACACAUGCAAGUCGAACGGUAACAGGUCUUCGGAUGCUGACGAGUAGCGAACGGGUGAGUAAUACAUCGGAACGUGCCUAGUAGUGGGGGAUAACUACUCGAAAGAGUGGCUAAUACCGCAUGAGAUCUACGGAUGAAAGCAGGGGAUCGCAAGACCUUGUGCUACUAGAGCGGCCGAUGGCAGAUUAGGUAGUUGGUGGGAUAAAAGCUUACCAAGCCGACGAUCUGUAGCUGGUCUGAGAGGACGAUUAGCCACACUGGGACUGAGACACGGCCAGAUUCCUACGGGAGGCAGCAGUGGGGAAUUUUGGACAAUGGGCGCAAGCCUGAUCCAGCAAUGCCGCGUGCAGGAUGAAGGCCUUCGGGUUGUAAACUGCUUUUGUACGGAACGAAAAGCCCUGGGUUAAUACCCUGGGGUCAUGACGGUACCGUAAGAAUAAGCACCGGCUAACUACGUGCCAGCAGCCGCCGUAAAAC
rnacentral:rRNA from 1 species